CGUUGGCUCACAGGUCUGAAUCACAGAGAAAAGAGCCUCCCUGCGAAGCUGACAGUUCAAAGAUACAAAGGAAAAAUUUGCAAGGACACACAUGGAAAACUUGAGUUGUGCUCAAGUAAAUUUGAUUCACUGUAAAUGUCACUGCAGAUAAAGCUUUUCAAGAAGGGUGCAAGAGUAGACAGGACUUGGAGGAUCAGCUAGUAACCUGCUGGACACAUGGAUAGGUCAUGUGGAUUCCUUACACGGCAGGAAGUUGGAAGUUGGACAACCUACUUGGAUUUCAUCCGUAAGACCAUGGACAACAUAUGUGCUUAUAACAUUUAGAAAAUAACAUCCUUUGGGCUUGAAACUUGUGUUUGGAGAGAUCAAAGCUGACGCAGGGAUGGAAAACAAUUGUGUAGAUUCCUUUUCCAAAUUUGCUGACACACAAAAGGAUAUGAAAUGAAGAUGGAGAGAUAUAACAACUGCUACUUGGGAACACAGCUACAUAAACAGUAGAAAAAUUCAGCUUGGAAAAAAACGUGGACAUCUGUAAUUGAAGACCAUAUUCACUGCAAGUCUAACUUCCCAUUGGAUCAGCUUGCUCAAGGUCUUAAAUGAGUUCUGCCAGUUUCCCAGGAUGGUGUUCAUACAACCUUUCCAGAAAAUUUGUUCUGCUACUUAACCAUCCUAAAUGUUAACUUUUAUUUUUUCCCUUUACGUCUAGUUGUGCACUUUCUUACUCGGUAUCACGUGGUACAUUUGGAAUGAUAAGACUACCAAGUAUGUUUAAACAGCAGACCUAAGGAAUGUUUUCUUCCUCCCUGGAUGUUUAUGCACUUUCUGGCUGUGUCCUGUCACUGACAAGUUACAUACAUACACAGCAGAAGCGUAUUAUUUGAGCCAGAGCUGAUCUGGCACCAGGACUUCAGACUCAUCUGGGAUUUGUCACAUGAGGUGCUCUGUAUCUGGUAGUACACAUUGUGUCUGGUAUGAACAAGGUAAGAGAAAAGAUGGUGAUGAGUUACCUACGGAUGUAAGUAGCCCACUUCAAAUCAAGUAUGUCUCCUCUGUUCUACUGAUCCAUAUUACAGUCUCAUCUCCUCUUGCACCAACAGCAAUGAAAUUUCUUCCCUCCUUUCUCCUCUGGUCCUCUUUCUCAAGUUUUUUUUUUUUUUUUAAUUAAUAUAAACUGCAAAAAUAUUUAAAUCUUUAAUGUGGUAAUUUGCAACUAAAGGUGAAGGAUAGAAAGGAAAGGAUCAGUUGAGCAGAGAACCUGUAUGAAUCUGCACACUUGUAGAGAGCAAAGUUAGACUGGGGUCAUCCCAGUCCAGCCAAGAUGAAAUGAGCAAGAACUCUGACAAGAAAACUAAAACUACCUCAUGCACACUGGAGAAUCUAUACACAAUCUACACUCACCUAUAUAACAGCUUUCAGUCUGCUGAAGAUUUUGGUCAAUUCCCAAAUUUACUGUGUUAUCUUUAGCUUUGUAUAUGCCAUUUUUUCCUAUGUGACUUCUAAAAUCAAU
ensembl:lncRNA